rnacentral:rRNA from 1 species
CCUACGGGGAGCUGCAGUGGGGAAUAUUGGACAAUGGGCGAAAGCCUGAUCCAGCCAUGCCGCGUGUGUGAAGAAGGCCUUCGGGUUGUAAAGCACUUUCAGUGGGGAAGAAAGCCUUGGGGCUAAUACCCUCGAGGAAGGACAUCACCCACAGAAGAAGCACCGGCUAACUCCGUGCCAGCAGCCGCGGUAAUACGGAGGGUGCGAGCGUUAAUCGGAAUUACUGGGCGUAAAGCGCGCGUAGGCGGUCUGAUAAGCCGGUUGUGAAAGCCCCGGGCUCAACCUGGGAACGGCAUCCGGAACUGUCAGGCUAGAGUGCAGGAGAGGGAGGUAGAAUUCCCGGUGUAGCGGUGAAAUGCGUAGAGAUCGGGAGGAAUACCAGUGGCGAAGGCGGCCUUCUGGACUGACACUGACGCUGAGGUGCGAAAGCGUGGGUAGCAAACAGGAUUAGAUACCCCUGUAGUC